CGGUGGAUGAUGUGGUUUAAUUCGAUGCAACGCGAAAACCUUACCCACCUUUGACAUGUACGGAAUCCUUUAGAGAUAGAGGAGUGCUCGAAAGAGAGCCGUAACACAGGUGCUGCAUGGCUGUCGUCAGCUCGUGUCGUGAGAUGUUGGGUUAAGUCCCGCAACGAGCGCAACCCUUGUCAUUAGUUGCUACGAAAGGGCACUCUAAUGAGACUGCCGGUGACAAACCGGAGGAAGGUGGGGAUGACGUCAAGUCCUCAUGGCCCUUAUAGGUGGGGCUACACACGUCAUACAAUGGCUGGUACAAAGGGUUGCCAACCCGCGAGGGGGAGCCAAUCCCAUAAAGCCAGUCGUAGUCCGGAUCGCAGUCUGCAACUCGACUGCGUGAAGUCGGAAUCGCUAGUAAUCGUGGAUCAGCAUGUCACGGUGAAUACGUUCCCGGGUCUU
rnacentral:rRNA from 1 species